rnacentral:lncRNA from 1 species
CUUCUCCAAGGAGGGUCCUUGCCCAGUGCCCUGGGCAGGGCUCGCACUGAGGUCUGGAGGCCACAGCCCCGCGGGCAGGUGGCAGGGUAGCAGCAUCCCUGGAUCUGUCCAGUCUCAGGUCACAGAGCUGGGUGGAAAGCCCGUGACUGUCCCCUGAGCCGGCCUUCUUUUACAGAGGAAGAAACGGGCUGAGAGCCCAGACGCAGCCCGGCCACCAGCUGUCACAGGCGGUACUCGUUUGCACUUCCAUUUCCCAUCUAAAACAGAGCGACUCGGUCCUUCUCCAGCCCCUGGUGUGGGGCUGAGCACCACACUUUGGCGCGCCUGUAACCAGAAUGAGCAGCGGCAGCUGGCACUGCAGGACCCUGGACUGGAGCUCACACAGGACAGUGACAGUUCACGCCACUUGCCCCAGGCUCCCGGCUCCUCCUCUGUCCCCUGUCUCCGUUCCACAGUGGCACCUGGCCUGGAGGCCACAGGAACAGGGGAGGACUGGGUCCCCUCUGCCUGCCACACAGAAAAGGAGCCUUGGUUUCUGAGGCUCUGGGUGGGGCAAUGGGUGGGCAUUGGAGGGGGACGGGUCUCCCCCAGCUCUGUACUCCGUCUGGGCUGCUGGAACCAAAUACCACAGCGAGCGCAGCUUAGACAAUGGACGUUGAGUUCUCAGGGUUCUGGAGUCUGGAAGUCCAAGAUCCAGGUGUCAGUCCCCACCUCCUAACACCACUCUCAAGGGAAUCUGGGAACACAAGCACCCCGUCCGUGACAUCCGCUAUCAGAGAAGUGAUGGAGGAGUAAUCACUCAUGGCUGGACACUGCCAUGGGCCCCUUCUGUGGGCCCCUUCCAGUGCCCCUGAGGCAGGAACACUGUGGGGAGUAGGAGGUGGCCCUCAAAGGUUGCUUUCAAACAGGAGUUUCUGGGACCAGGGCUGGAACUAAGGGGAGCAGGAGUAAGGUGGCACUUACUCACAAGGGCCAACCCUGUACAUGCACACCAGCUGGCGAGAGCCUCCUUAAAAUGUGCGCCUGGAGUGUCAUGAUUCACUCUAGCCCUGCCCAGCCCCUGACUCUCCACCCACUCUCACACUGCUCUCUUCCACCGGGUCCACCGGGAGUGCACUCAGAGGCCUGCACGCAGGCACAGCAGGUGGGUUCAGGUACAGCCUACAGGUGUCAAAGGAGCCCUCAAACCGUUGGUGCAGAAACAUUAGGCACAUUGUGGGCACUAGCCCUGGCCAUGGACCACCCGUGAGCUCCCCAUAGGCAGGGGGCAGGGAGCUGAGGCCUCUCCUUCCAUGAGACAACCCCUCCCUCCAGCUGGGAACAAGAAAAGGAAAACUCCUGCAAGUUCCACUCUGGGCCAGGCUGCCUGCCAACUCUGCAUAUUUGAUCCUAAACAGAGUCCAGCAAGGAGGGGAUGGUUUUAAAUUUACAAGUAAGGAAACUGAGGUUCAGAGAUGUAAAAGGAUUUGCUCAGGGUCACAGGGAAUGUGUGCCUUGGGUCCAACCUCCAGGGUCAAGAGUUAUCAAGUCCCAAGGGUUGGAUUUUCAUUCAUUCUCAUCUCCUCUCUACACUCCCAGUCAUUCCUCUCACAGAUCUUCUGUGGCCUAGAUGUGCCUCAACAGCUGCGGGCGAUCACAGGCGGGCAAUCACAGGCAGGCCCUUCAGAGAUGACUGGAUUAUGGGGUCCUGAGAGCUGACUUCCUGUAGGAGGUGGGGCCUGGUGGGAAGAGGCGGGUGCUGUGGGUGUGACCCGGAAGGCUCCUCCACGGACUGUGUCAGCCUUCCUGUGAGCAGCUCUCCUCCACUCUGCCUCUCUGCCAUGCCAGCCUGCCUUGGAGUCAGCUGACUCUGGACUCACAUGUGAGCCAAAAUAAACUUUGCCUUCCUUAAAUUGUAGAUGUUGACUAUUUUGUCCCACCAAGGAGAAAAAUGACAGAUAGGGUCUGUUCGGGGUGGGAGGGACUCCAGCAGCUCAGGAGAUGGCCUGGCUUAGUCCAUACAGAAACAAGCGAACACACAAGGGCCGAG